rnacentral:rRNA from 1 species
CCUACGGGAGGCUGCAGUGAGGAAUAUUGGUCAAUGGACGAGAGUCUGAACCAGCCAAGUAGCGUGCAGGAUGACUGCCCUCUGGGUUGUAAACUUCUUUUAUAUGGGAAUAAAAUGUUCCACGUGUGGGAUUUUGUAUGUACCAUAUGAAUAAGGAUCGGCUAACUCCGUGCCAGCAGCCGCGGUAAUACGGAGGAUCCGAGCGUUAUCCGGAUUUAUUGGGUUUAAAGGGAGCGUAGGUGGAUUGUUAAGUCAGUUGUGAAAGUUUGCGGCUCAACCGUAAAAUUGCAGUUGAAACUGGCAGUCGUGAGUACAGUAGAGGUGGGCGGAAGUCGUGGUGUAGCGGUGAAAUGCUUAGAUAUCACGAAGAACUCCGAUUGCUAAGGCAGCUCACUGGACUGCAACUGACACUGAGGCUCGAAAGUGUGGGUAUCAAACAGGAUUAGAUACCCGGGUAGUC